CCUAGGGAGGCAGCAGUGAGGAAUAUUGGUCAAUGGGCUUACGCCUGAACCAGCCAAGUCGCGUGAGGGAAGACUGCCCUAUGGGUUGUAAACCUCUUUUGUCAGGGAGCAACGCCGGCUACGUGUAGCCGGACUGAGAGUACCUGAAGAAAAAGCAUCGGCUAACUCCGUGCCAGCAGCCGCGGUAAUACGGAGGAUGCGAGCGUUAUCCGGAUUUAUUGGGUUUAAAGGGUGCGCAGGCGGCGAGUUAAGUCAGCGGUAAAAUUUCGGGGCUCAACCCCGACAAGCCGUUGAAACUGGCUGGCUAGAGUGGGCGAGAAGUAUGCGGAAUGUGUGGUGUAGCGGUGAAAUGCAUAGAUAUCACGCAGAACUCCGAUUGCGAAGGCAGCAUACCGGCGCCCAACUGACGCUCAGGCACGAAAGCGUGGGUAUCGAACAGGAUUAGAUACCCCUGUAGUC
rnacentral:rRNA from 1 species